GGCAGUGCCAGCAGAGGCAGAGGCUUUCCGCUUCCUGCAGUGCUAACAUGAUUCCUUCCAGGGGCCUCGCUCAUUUGCCUUCCGAGCAGAUAUAGCUUUCCAGUCUCACAGCUUCCACCGGGGAGUCUGAGGCUGGCACUACCCAAAUAUGGAUUCAGCUGAAGAUUCCACAUACUGAAAUGCUAGUCCUCAACCAGCUAUUAAGCAUUGCAAGGGCUAUGAGUUAAAUGCUGAACUUGGUGAGCUGCCAGCCCCUGAGCUCCAUAAAUUCAAUGCUUCCAAAAAGUACAUGUCAUGUUUACAUCUCCAGUUAGACAACACAUCUGACAUGCAUAUCACUGCUUGCUUGGACUGCGUUCUUAGAUUCCAUAGAGUCACUGUCAUCCCAUUACAACAGGAAGUAAUUCUUAAAAGACAACGUGACGGUCAGACUCAGGAGCAACAAAGAUGGCCAAUGAAUUGCCUCACCGCUAUGAUCCAGGACAAAGUCAUCUUGGGCAUAACGAUAUUUUUCAGGUCCACAAGCAAUAAAAACAUCAUCAUCACCAAAAAAGUCUUGCAGACAAG